AGAGUUUGAUCAUGGCUCAGGACGAACGCUGGCGGCGCGCUUAACACAUGCAAGUCGAGCGAGAACCGGGGCUUCGGCCUCGGGGACAGCGGCGAACGGGUGAGUAACACGUGGAUAACCUGCCCUCGGCACCGGGAUAGCCCGGGGAAACCCGGAUUAAUACCGGAUGGCCCUUCCGACUCUCGAGUCGGUCGGAAAAGGUAGCUUCGGCCUCCGGCCGAGGAUGGGUCCGCGGCGGAUUAGCUUGUUGGCGGGGUAACGGCCCACCAAGGCGACGAUCCAUAGCUGGUCUGAGAGGAUGAUCAGCCACACUGGGACUGAGACACGGCCCAGACUCCUACGGGAGGCAGCAGUGGGGAAUCUUGCGCAAUGGGCGAAAGCCUGACGCAGCGACGCCGCGUGCGGGAAGAAGGCCUUCGGGUUGUAAACCGCUUUCAGGAGGGACGAAGCCACUCGGGUUAACAGCCCAGAGGGUGACGGUACCUCCAGAAGAAGCCCCGGCUAACUACGUGCCAGCAGCCGCGGUAAUACGUAGGGGGCAAGCGUUGUCCGGAUUUAUUGGGCGUAAAGAGCGUGUAGGCGGUCAGGUAGGUCGGUUGUGAAAACUGGAGGCUCAACCUUCAGAGGUCGACCGAAACCCCCUGGCUAGAGUCCGGGAGAGGAGAGUGGAAUUCCUGGUGUAGCGGUGAAAUGCGCAGAU
rnacentral:rRNA from 1 species